ACAGCGCCGAGGCUGGGAGCCCUCCGGCGCUGACGGCGACGUUCGCCCCGGUCCCGCCUCCCUGCGGGCACGCGUCCGCUUCCGGGGGAAAGGUGACGAGCCGCCCCCCGUCUCUCCCCGGUCACAAGAUGGCGGCGGCGGGCGGCGCGGGGACGGCGGCCGCGCUGUGGAGCGAGGUGAAUCGCGGCGGCCAGAACGGAGACUUCGGCCGCGCGCUCAAGUCCGUCAACAAGCUGUUGCAGAUCAACAAGGAUGAUGUGACUGCCCUUCACUGCAAAGUGGUGUGUCUCAUUCAGAGUGGAAGCUUCAAGGAAGCCCUAAGUGUAAUCCACACCCACACCAAAGUGUUAACCAGUGACUCUAUCACCUUUGAGAAGGCGUACUGUGAGUACAGGUUGAACAGAAUUGAAAAUGCCCUGAAGACCAUUCAGAGUGCCAGCCAGCAGACAGACAAACUGAAGGAGCUGCAUGGACAAGUGUUGUAUAGGUUGGAGCGCUAUGACGACUGCUUAGCCGUGUAUCGGGAUCUCAUCCGGAACUCCCAAGACGACUAUGAAGAAGAAAGGAAAACCAACCUUUCUGCAGUGGUUGCAGCGCAGAGCACAUGGGAGAAAGUGGAGCCAGAAGAUCUGGGCCUCCAAGAAGCUACCUACGAGCUGUGUUAUAAUGCUGCAUGUGCAUUGAUUGGGCAAGGCAGGCUGAACGAGGCAAUGAAAAGCCUACAGAAAGCAGAAGAUCUGUGUCGCCAGUCGCUUUCAGAAGACUCUGAUGUGACUGAGGAAGACAUUGAGGCUGAGUUGGCCAUUAUUCACGGUCAGAUGGCCUAUAUCAUGCAAUUACAGGGGCGUACAGAGGAUGCUCUCCAGCUUUACAAUCAAAUCAUCAAAUUAAAGCCGACAGACGUGGGAUUGAUUGCUGUCAUUGCAAAUAACAUCAUCACUAUUAACAAGGACCAAAAUGUCUUUGACUCAAAGAAAAAGGUGAAAUUGACCAAUGCAGAAGGCGUGGAGCACAAACUCUCCAAGAAACAGCUCCAGGCCAUCGAAUUCAACAAAGCUUUACUGGCUAUGUACACCAAUCAGGCAGAUCAGUGCCGCAAGCUGUCAGCAAGUUUACAGUCCCAGAACCCCGAGCACCUGCUACCGGUGCUAAUCCAGGCUGCCCAGCUCUGUCGAGAGAAGCAGCAUGCGAAGGCAAUAGAGCUCCUCCAGGACUUUGCGGAGCAGAGCCCUGCCGACUCGGCGCAGAUCAAGCUGACGAUGGCACAGCUGAAAAUCGCUCAAGGCAGCGUCACCAAAGCAUGCAUCAUUCUGAGGAGUAUAGAAGAGCUGAAGCAUAAGCCAGGCAUGGUGUCUGCGUUAGUGACGAUGUACAGUCAUGAAGAAGACAUUGACAGUGCUAUUGAGGUCUUCACGCAAGCUAUCCACUGGUACCAGGAAUACCAGCCAAAGUCUCCAGUUCACUUGUUGCUGAUAAGGGAAGCAGCCAACUUCAAGCUGAAGUACGGGAGGAAGAAGGAAGCGAUCAGCGACCUGGAAGAGCUGUGGAAGCAAAACCCAAAAGACAUUCAUACUCUGGCCCAGCUCAUCUCUGCGUACUCCCUCGUAGACCCCGAGAAGGCGAAGGUCCUUAGCAAACACUUGCCCUCGUCGGACACGAUGUCUUUGAAAGUAGACGUGGAUGCGCUUGAAAAUUCCCCCGGGGCUACGUAUGUUCGGAAGAAAGGCGGAAAGCUCACGGGAGAGAACCAGCAGAAAGAGCAAGGGCAAGGGGAUGUAAAGAAAAAGAAGAGGAAAAAGAAGGGAAAACUGCCUAAGAACUAUGAUCCCAAGAUGACCCCGGACCCUGAGCGGUGGCUUCCGAUGCGAGAGCGCUCCUAUUAUCGCGGCAGGAAGAAGGGCAAAAAGAAGGAUCAGAUUGGAAAGGGAACCCAGGGAGCAACGACAGCUGGCACGUCUGAGCUGGAUGCCAGUAAGACAGCAAGCAGCCCGCCUACCUCCCCCCGGCCUGGCAGCACCACAGCCACGUCCUCCGCAGCCACGAGUAACAUGAUCCCUCCCCGGCACCAGAAACCUGCUGGCGCUGCAGCAACCAAGAAGAAGCAGCAGCAGAAGAAGAAGAAAGGAGGCAAGGGAGGCUGGUGACGAGAGCGGCUGCCGAGCUGGCCAUGUGAGGGACUGGAGCUCUCUGCUGUAAAGUGCUGAGAACAGAAUAAAGGGAAAACCCCAAAGCAAACAGAUAUUAGUACUGGGCCUGGAUGGAGCAGGGAAAACCAGUGUUCUCCACUCACUGGCCACAAAUCAUGUGAAGCGAAGUGCAGCUCCCACAGAGGGCAUCA